AUAUAAAAAAAACAAAAAACCCUUGUUGAAUGAAUGACUCAACCACCGCAUACUGGUUCAAGCAGGCACUGUUCUAGUAGAAUACAAUGUCUUUUUUUA